GGGAACCUCAGUUCUUUCCUCCAGGGUCACAUUUUUCUCCACAUUACAUUCUUGCUGCCUGGCCAGUCCUUCCUGAAGCUGGGUGCAGCCUUGCAGGGCUGAGUAGGACAAGAGGAUCUUUCAGAUGCAUCUCAUGCAAUUAUAUGUGUCAAGCUGGUGAAUUAUGUGUGCAUGUGGCUGCUGUUAGAAGUCAUGGUGACGUACCCAAGAUGAGGUCAGUAAAGAUGCAUGUGCUUUAUAUGCAACCAGAGGCCUCCUACACAAGUGCAAACAGGUCAGCCAUGAGUGAUAGAAGUAUUCCAGUAAAACAAAGGGAAGAAGAUUACAUGCUGGCUUCCUUCUCCAGGCUUCUAGGGAGAAGAAAUUUAAGGUUUUAAUUUCCAGACCUGCUUACAGGAUGCUCAUAAUUUUUACAAACCACAAGUUUUGACUA